rnacentral:rRNA from 1 species
UACGUAGGGACCUAGCGUUGUUCGGAAUCACUGGGCGUAAAGGGUAUGUAGGCGGUUUAAUAAGUCAGAUGUGAAAUAGCAGGGCUUAACCUUGCUGCUGCGUCUGAUACUGUUAAUCUUGAGUAACUGAGAGGAAGGCGGAAUUUCUGGUGUAGGGGUGAAAUCUAUAGAUAUCAGGAAGAACAUCGGUAGCGAAGGCGGCUUUCUGGCAGUUUACUGACGCUGAGGUACGAAAGGUAGGGUAGCAAACAGG